rnacentral:rRNA from 1 species
GACGAACGCUGGCGGCGUGCUUAACACAUGCAAGUCGAACGGUAAGGCCCUUCGGGGUACACGAGUGGCGAACGGGUGAGUAACACGUCGGUGAUCUGCCCUGCACUUCGGGAUAAGCCGGGGAAACUGGGUCUAAUACCGGAGAGGCCUCCUGGCUUCAUGGUUGGGGGUGGAAAGCUUUUGCGGGUUGGGAUGGGUCCGCGGCGUAUCAGCUUGUUGGGGGGGUAAGGGCCUACCAAGGCGACGACAGGUAGCCGGCCUGAGAGGGUGCGCGGUCACACUGGGACUGAGAUACGGCCCAGACUCCUACGGGAGGGAGCAGUGGGGAAUAUAGCACAAUGGGCGCAAGCCUGAUGCAGCGACGCCGCGUGGGGGAUGACGGCCUUCGGGUUGUAAACCUCUUUCAGCUAUGACGAAGCGCAAGUGACGGUAGUAGCAGAAGAAGGACCGGCCAACUACGUGCCAGCCGCCGCUGUAA